CAGCGGAGCGUGUGGUUUAAUUCGAUGUUACACGAAGAACCUUACCAGGGUUUGACAUGCAAGUGGUAGGAAGCCGAAAGGUGACCGACCCUUCGGGGAGCUUGCACAGGUGCUGCAUGGCUGUCGUCAGCUCGUGUCGUGAGAUGUUCGGUUAAGUCCGCUAACGAGCGCAACCCUCGCUGUGUGUUAUAUGUGUCACACGGGACUGCCGGUCUUAAGCCGGAGGAAGGUGGGGAUGAUGUCAAGUCAGCAUGGCCUUUAUAUCCUGGGCUACACACACGCUACAAUGGCAGAUACAAUAGGUCGCGAAACCGCGAGGUGGAGCCAAUCCUCAAAGUCUGCCUCAGUUCAGAUUGUAGGCUGCAACUCGCCUGCAUGAAGUCGGGGUUGCUAGUAAACGCAGGUCAGCUAUACUGCGUUGAAUACGUUCCCGGGGUUU
rnacentral:rRNA from 1 species